AAAAAGGGUGCUUGUUACUGGAUAGCACACGAGUUCUUAUGGGCUUGUGGGGUAUGGUAAUCAAGACAUACCCAGCACGUAAUUUUUGUUCCCGUGGGGCUGUUUAUAGGCAAUGUCUCAUAGACGCCCCC
rnacentral:snRNA from 1 species